rnacentral:rRNA from 1 species
CAGCCGCCGCGGGAAUACGUAGGUGGCAAGCGUUGUCCGGAAUUAUUGGGCGUAAAGGGCGCGUAGGCGGCGAUAAUAGUCAGAAGUGAAAGCCCCGGGCUCAACCUGGGAAUUGCUUUUGAUACUGUAAUGCUUGAGUUCGGGAGAGGUGAGUGGAAUUCCCAGUGUAGAGGUGAAAUUCGUAGAUAUUGGGAAGAACACCGGUGGCGAAGGCGGCUCACUGGACCGAUACUGACGCUGAGGCGCGAAAGCGUGGGAGCAAACAGGAUUAGAUACCCCGGUAGUCCCUGUCUCUUAUACC